rnacentral:rRNA from 1 species
UGGGGAAUUUUGGACAAUGGGCGAAAGCCUGAUCCAGCAAUGCCGCGUGUGUGAAGAAGGCCUUCGGGUUGUAAAGCACUUUUGUCCGGAAAGAAAUCCUUGGCUCUAAUACAGUCGGGGGAUGACGGUACCGGAAGAAUAAGCACCGGCUAACUACGUGCCAGCAGCCGCGGUAAUACGUAGGGUGCAAGCGUUAAUCGGAAUUACUGGGCGUAAAGCGUGCGCAGGCGGUUUGCUAAGACCGAUGUGAAAUCCCCGGGCUCAACCUGGGAACUGCAUUGGUGACUGGCAGGCUAGAGUAUGGCAGAGGGGGGUAGAAUUCCACGUGUAGCAGUGAAGUGCGUAGAGAUGUGGAGGAAUACCGAUGGCGAAGGCAGCCCCCUGGGCCAAUACUGACGCUCAUGCACGAAAGCGUGGGGAGCAAACAGGAUUAGAUACCCUGGUAGUCCACGCCCUAAACGAUGUCAACUAGUUGUUGGGGAUUCAUUUCCUUAGUAACGUAGCUAACGCGUGAAGUUGACCGCCUGGGGAGUACGGUCGCAAGAUUAAAACUCAAAUGAAUUGACGGGGUCAUA